rnacentral:rRNA from 1 species
AGUCAAGCUACAAAGGGCUCACGGU